rnacentral:tRNA from 1 species
AGGGAUUUAGCUCAGUGGCACAGCGCCUGCCUUGAAAGCACAAGGUCCUGAGUUCAAUCCCUG